rnacentral:sRNA from 1 species
AAUCUCAAAAACUGCCAACGAUAAUUUAAAUAAAUCCUUUGAUUUUGCAGCUGAACCUUA